CUACAGCCAACACUUGAGCUUACUGGAGGGAUGACAACUGAUCAGUUCAACAAUGAGCAACACAAAUAUGAGGAUCCAAUAAUCUACAGAAGCAGAUACAUAUUGGAGCUUGGAAUGAAUAUAACAUUUUGUUUAGGCGUCCUGGAAUCCUUGCAGACUUUGGGAGAAGCAACAAAGCUGUAGUUGGAAGUUGUCCUUUGCUGAAGUAACAUGCCCAGUUCCAGUGAUAACAAACACGAGUAAUGGCUUAUUGUGGCAGAUUCUAGUGUUCAAUAUUUUUAUCAACUACAAA